rnacentral:rRNA from 1 species
AGGCUUAGAUCUCAAAUUUAAUUGUUUAGAACUAAUUUAAUUAAGUAAAUUUCAAAAGAUUAAGUUUGUGGGGUGAAAAAUUAGUCGUUGAGUCUUAUAUCUAUUAAUUUGCUUAGUUUUCUUAUUACACCAUGGGUUAAGAGAUCUUUGGUGGGAUUAUAUCAUUAAUAUAGUAUAAAAAUCAUAGGGUUAAAAGUACCCCAUGUUAAUAAAAUUGUUAAAAAUUUUUGCUAGUAUUAUGCGUUGAUUAAAUUGGAAGGCAAAUUGGUAUUAAUAAUUGGAUCCUAACAUAUCACGGAAUAAGUAAUUAUAUUAUUUUAGGUAUUUCUCGAUCUUUGCUCGUCUGUUUAUUAAAAACAUUGUUAACUUUAAGUUUAGUUAAUAGUACCUGCCCUAUGUAUGCAGAUAUAAAUGGCCGCAGUAUAUUGACUGUGCGAAGGUAGCAUAAUUAAUUGCCCUUUAAUUGGGGGCUUGUUUGAAUGGUUUGACGUAGUAAUUGGUAAUAUCUGAUAUAUCGUUGAAAUUGGUUUGGGUGGU